UACGUAGGGUGCAAGCGUUGUCCGGAAUUAUUGGGCGUAAAGAGCUCGUAGGCGGUCUGUCGCGUCGGCUGUGAAAACCCGGGGCUCAACCCCGGGCCUGCAGUCGAUACGGGCAGACUAGAGUGCGGUAGGGGAGACUGGAAUUCCUGGUGUAGCGGUGAAAUGCGCAGAUAUCAGGAGGAACACCGGUGGCGAAGGCGGCUCUCUGGACCGACACUGACGCUGAGGCGCGAAAGCGUGGGGAGCAAACAGG
rnacentral:rRNA from 1 species